GAUGAACGCUGGCGGCGUGCCUAAUACAUGCAAGUCGAGCGAACAGACGAGGAGCUUGCUCCUCUGACGUUAGCGGCGGACGGGUGAGUAACACGUGGAUAACCUACCUAUAAGACUGGGAUAACUUCGGGAAACCGGAGCUAAUACCGGAUAAUAUAUUGAACCGCAUGGUUCAAUAGUGAAAGACGGUUUUGCUGUCACUUAUAGAUGGAUCCGCGCCGCAUUAGCUAGUUGGUAAGGUAACGGCUUACCAAGGCAACGAUGCGUAGCCGACCUGAGAGGGGGUAGGCCCACCUGGAAAGUGAGACCGGGCCCAGCGCCCUAGGGAGGGCAGAAGAGGGGAAUCUCCGCAAAGGGGCGAAAGCCUGAGGAACAGACGCCGGGGGGGUGAAGAGGGUCUGCGUGCGUUAAAACUGUUUUAUUGGGGAAAACAAAAUUUGUAAGUAACUAAGCCAGUUUUGCGGUAACUUAAGAAGAAGGCCGGGGCAAAUAAGGG
rnacentral:rRNA from 1 species